AGCAGCCGCGGUAAUUCCAGCUCCAAUAGCGUAUAUUAAAGUUGUUGCAGUUAAAAAGCUCGUAGUUGAAUUUCGGGAUUGGCGCAUCGGUCGUGCCUCACGGGGUAUGAACUGGUGCAGUCAAUUUCUCACCUUCUGGAGAACCGCGAUGUCCUUAAUUGGAUGCCGCGGGGAACCAGGACCUUUACUUUGAAAAAUUAGAGUGUUUAAAGCAGGCAUUUUUGCUUGAAUACAUUAGCAUGGAAUAAUAAAAUAGGACGGCAUGGUUCUAUUUUGUUGGUUUCUAGGACCACCGUAAUGAUUAAUAGGGAUAGUUGGGGGCAUUAGUAUUCAAUUGUCAGAGGUGAAAUUCUUGGAUUUAUUGAAGACUAACUACUGCGAAAGCAUUUGCCAAGGAUGUUUUCAUUAAUCAAGAACGAAAGUUAGGGGAUCGAAGACGAUCAGAUACCGUCGUAGUCUUAACCAUAAACUAUGCCGACUAGGAAUCAGACGAUGUUAAUUUUUAAUGACCCGUUUGGCA
rnacentral:misc_RNA from 1 species